rnacentral:misc_RNA from 1 species
AUUCUUUGCAUCAUAUGAAUUUUUCAAAAGAUUAUUUUCUUUGGAAAAUCCACAAUUUAAUUCUCAAAGGAUUCAGUACAAACAAAGCAUGGAAGAUGAUCCAACACAAUUGCAAUUGCCAUGAUGUUCCGCAUCAUUGGCAUCCUGAUCUUGACUAUCACCAGCACAAAGGUUGCAUGGUUUGCAUCAUAUGAGAAAUACUGAUACCCUUUUGUGAUGAGAUGAGAUUAAGAAGGGAGACAUGCCCCAUCAAUGAGCAUAGAUGGGACUGCGUAUCUACGAAACCAUAAAUGGAUGCAAUACCCAACAUGGAAUGGCGAAAUUUUUGGGUUCGCCAUUUUGUGGUGCUGAAAUGAUGGCAAAUUAUUGUAUACACUACAAAAAAUUAUGACUCAUAUAUUUAGAGAGAUUGCAUAUGCACCAGUGUACUUUUGAAAUGGGUAUUGCCGGGCUUGCCAUUUUGAAGGAAACAUUUGCAAAUAAGUUCAAUAUUUAUAAUAUUUUUAUAUUUGAAUUACUUAAA